rnacentral:lncRNA from 1 species
GACAUUGGACUGGGGAGGAGGAAGCACAACUUUAUUUUCUGGCCCGAAGCUGGGUUGGUAUUUGGGGGAGUUCUUGGGAACACAGCGUGUCUGUGCAGUUUCAACCCUGGGGAUCCAGGGGACUCCAGCCAUCCCAGAGGAGAUAAACCUGCCAGUAAUUUCAGCAAAUGAAACGUGGAACACGUCAAGGCCAGAGGAUGGAAAAGGCUCCAGUUUUGAUAAAAGGAGGCCUGCUUGGCUUGGAAUCCUCUCUCCUGCUGGUUGGGAGAUGCAAAGAUGUUUCCAGAGAGGGGCUGAUGAAUUGAGGGGAAAGAAAUGAGCCCAGUAUGAGUCCCCUUUCAGGGCUGAGUGUGUAUAAAACCAAACAACUUGGAACCGCUCCAAGAGAGGGGAUUAAAGCAACAUGUUAUUCUGAGUGAUUGCUUAAUUUGUUGAGCUGUGGCUGGAUCUGUAAUGAAAUACAGCCCUUGUAACUGAUAACCUCCUGCUGCAAUUGAACUUCUACAAUUAAGGAAUAUUUUCUGAGUUUCUCUGGAACGGCUCUGAAUUUUUAGCCUCUGUGGUAGGGUGCUUCUGAACAUUUGUUUUCCAGGCAAUUUUUUUUCUUGAGUAUUAGGCUGAUGUUAAUAAGUAAGCAGCAUUUUACUGAGUGUUUUGUGGGAACCAGGAACUUUAUAUACAUUAUAUCUAAUCCUGACACUAAUCCUGACAAUAUCCCAUGAAAUAACCCCUAUUAUUCCCUAUUUUACGGAUGUGAAGCCACGAGACUUUCGGUCAUUUUCUAGAGUGGUGCUGUCCAAGACAGUAGCUAUGAUGGCUCCUUGUGGCUAUUGAUGUGUAAAUUAGUUAAAAUUAAAUAAAUUUUAACAUUUACUCCCUAGGUUGCACUAACAA